CACUCCUGCGGGAGGCAGCAGUGGGGAAUAUUGCACAAUGGGCGGAAGCCUGAUGCAGCAACGCCGCGUGCGGGAUGACGGCCUUCGGGUUGUAAACCGCUUUCGCCUGUGACGAAGCGUGAGUGACGGUAAUGGGUAAAGAAGCACCGGCUAACUACGUGCCAGCAGCCGCGGUGAUACGUAGGGUGCGAGCGUUGUCCGGAUUUAUUGGGCGUAAAGGGCUCGUAGGUGGUUGAUCGCGUCGGAAGUGUAAUCUUGGGGCUUAACCCUGAGCGUGCUUUCGAUACGGGUUGACUUGAGGAAGGUAGGGGAGAAUGGAAUUCCUGGUGGAGCGGUGGAAUGCGCAGAUAUCAGGAGGAACACCAGUGGCGAAGGCGGUUCUCUGGGCCUUUCCUGACGCUGAGGAGCGAAAGCGUGGGGAGCGAACAGGCUUAGAUACCCUGGUAGUCCCA
rnacentral:rRNA from 1 species